GUAGCUCUGUUUUGUUGGAACAGUUUGGGAUUAUUGUAAAGCAACUGGGAGCAAACAAGUGGUGCAAUAUCCUGGGACUACAAUGAAGAUUACGGCAUUGUCCCCCUCCUCCCUGCCUCUCAGAUCAGAAUCCAUGUGGGAAAGAAAACCUAUCUAGCAUUUCAUUGCAUGGAAGCUUGGUGGGAAGCACUGUCAUACCAGCAAUUUAAUGCUUCACAGUAUCACCAGAUGAACAGUUUGCCUAACUUAUGGAAAAUACAGUGGUUAUUCUUGAAAAUCAUGUUAAACAUUAACCAAGAAGAGGAACUCAGUAUGCACGAUAGGAAGAAAUAUCCCCUUUGCAUCCAGCGCUGAAUAAAUAAUGCCUGAUUCUUAAUGCUGCAUUGAUGUUAAGGAGUUUUUCCUACCAAUUUUCGUAACAAUAGGACAAAUUUAAGAAGAAAAAAACAUUAUCUGCUAUUGUAUCUUCUACUCUUCCAUGGUGCACUCUGUCUGGUCCUUAGUUUUGGGCCCUCUGGACAAUUUCAGCAUUUACAAUGUUUAUUUCAAAAGGCUUUUCAGGUGCAACAGAAUGAUUUUGAGUAAAUGUGACUCUCAGAGUGAAGGGAGUCUAGUUCUACUCUGUCUGAAAACAGGCAAAACAAUCAUUCUUUGACAAAUAUUUCUCUUGGCUAUGUAAGUGGGGAUGGAAAAAAUACUUGGCUAGUCUAGGUAGUGCCUGCAUUAUGGAUGUAGGUAUAUAUAUGGAUCUUGCAUGUACUUGUGUAUCAAAGUGGCACUAGAAACACUGAAGCAGAACUAAUUUUAACUGAAAGAGGUAGCCUUAUUUCCAGUGUAAUUUCUACUCUAGCAGAUUGCCCUUCUUCCUGUCUUGAAAACAGGACACCAAACAAAAUGGUUCUGUUGGAUGAGAAUGGGUGUCUCUAAAUAUUUUAGAAGCUUAUUUCCUGGAAGUGUCUUUUCUAUUAUUCUGUUUAAUAUUUGCUAGAGUGACUACACUGCAGGUGUAUGCAUGAACAAAAAGACUACACUCCUUUCUGAUAUAAUGGGUAAGAUGAUGUUAGCAUUAAGCAAGUUCAUUUGCUGUUGCUAAAAAGUUGUCCUUAUUUCUUCCCCUUUUUUCCUACCUGUCUCCUGCACCCAGCCUCAAGGAUCUGUCUUCUGCAUUGUCCUUGGUCUGUGACUCACCAGAAUGGCUGGUGCCUUAAAUUUACUAACCCAACAAAAAGCUAUUAAAAAACUAUGCAUAUUUGGAUUUGCUUUUUUUAUGUUUGUUUUGUUUGUUUGUUUGUUUUUUUUACCGGACUAGUGAGCUGAAGCAGUUUGUUGUAAGGAUAGGUGUAUUUAUGUCAGUGCAGGGAACACAAAGCUGGAAGUGAAUGGAAGGAGAUAUGGAAGGACACCCAUCUUUCUGCAGUUUUGAGAUGUUAGACUUGUUCAGUCCAGUAUUGUGUAAUAGCUGUAUGAUGCCCUAAGACAAAAAUAACUGACUAAUGCUUAGUUUCAUCUUGAGACAGAAAAAAUGAAAGGAUUAUAGAAGGAUCACCUAUUAUCUCUUGUUUCAUGGGUUUAGUUUCAUUUCCGUCAAUAUUUCAUCCUGUCUUAUAAAUAGCAUCUGGUAGUUACUGCAGAAAGCAUUAGCAAAUAUAUUCCAUGUAAAUUGAGUUUGUUCUAUGAGUAAUCAUAGUGAUCAGAUUAGUUUUCAGUAAAAUUUGUUGUUUAAUAAAGCUCUGUCAAUAAAACUGGUUGUGAAAAUU
ensembl:lncRNA